UUGCUCCUUGAUUCAGCGGCGGACGGGUGAGUAAUGCCUUCUGUCUGCCUGGUACUGAAGGACCCCGUUUUUCUCCGAACGCUCGUACCGCAUACGUCCUAUUCCUUUCAGCAGGGGACCUUCGGGCCUUGCGCUAUUCCAUGAGCCUACUUCGGAUUCCCCCGCUGGUGAGGGAAGGGCUCUCCCGGGCUACGAUCCGCUUGUGGGCGGAAAGGAUGAUCAGUCACACUGGUCCUGAGCCAGGACCAAAACUUAUACGGGAGGCAGCAGUGGGGAAUAUUGGACAAUGGGCGAAAGCCUGAUCCAGCCAUGCCGCGUGUGUGAAGAAGGUCUUCGGAUUGUAAAGCACUUUAAGUUGGGAGGAAGGGCAGUAAGUUAAUACCUUGCUGUUUUGACGUUACCGACAGAAUAAGCACCGGCUAACUCUGUGCCAGCAGCCGCGGUUAUACAGAGGGUGCAAGCGUUAAUCGGAAUUACUGGGCGUAAAGCGCGCGUAGGUGG
rnacentral:rRNA from 1 species